GACGAACGCUGGCGGCGUGCUUAACACAUGCAAGUCGAACGAAGUGGCGAACGGGUGAGUAACGCGUAAUCAACCGGCCCUUCAGAGGGGGACAACAGUUGGAAACGACUGCUAAUACCGCAUACGGAAGGAGGGGAUUGCGUCGGAUUGGCUAGUUGGAGGGGUAACGGCCCACCAAGGCGAUGAUCAGUAGCCGGUUCGAGAGGAUGAACGGCCAAAUUGGGACUGAUACACGGCCCAGACUCCUACGGGAGGCAGCAGUGGGGAAUCUUCCGACAUGGACGAAAGUCUGACUGAGCAACGCCGCGUGAGUGAUGACGGCCUUCGGGGUGUAAAGCUCUGUUAAUCGGGACGCGGUACCGGAAUAGAAAGCCACGGCUAACUACGUGCCAGCAGCCGCGGUAAUUC
rnacentral:rRNA from 1 species